CCUCUGCUUGACAGACAGCUGUGCUACUAUGAAGAUCAGCUGGAUAAUGACCAAAGUCUAGAGGCCAUCUCUUUGAUGAAUCAUACAAGUGAAAGUGAGGUCAUCAUGCAGAAGAUGAGGGCAACGCUUGAAUACAGACAGCGCCUUGUCCAUGAUCCAGAGAGGUCCACCACUGUUCUUUCAGUUUUUCCUUGAUUUCUGGAUACUAAAGGAUUGAUUCUUCAAGACUUCACGCUCCUCUUUGGGUCUGAAACUGCUUCCAGACUUUUGGAAAGGUGGCCAACAGCUUUCAAAGCAAUCAUCUUCCAAUCUGAACAGAGAAGGCAGUGAAGCCCAGGAUUCUCCAGAAUGGGACAGUGACAUAUCUUCCUUCCUUCCUUCCUUCUACUCCUGCAUCUUUUAUGACCCCAGGCUUCAGGAAGAAAGAAAACCCAAAAGAUCAGUAUCUCUCAGGCUGUUGACCAAGAUGGCGCCGCGAAUGGCAGCCUCAGUGCUUAGCUCUCAAG